GACGAACGCUGGCGGCGUGCCUAAUACAUGCAAGUAGAACGCUGAAGAGAGGAGCUUGCUCUUCUUGGAUGAGUUGCGAACGGGUGAGUAACGCGUAGGUAACCUGCCUUGUAGCGGGGGAUAACUAUUGGAAACGAUAGCUAAUACCGCAUAACAAUGGAUGACACAUGUCAUUUAUUUGAAAGGGGCAAUUGCUCCACUACAAGAUGGACCUGCGUUGUAUUAGCUAGUAGGUGAGGUAAUGGCUCACCUAGGCGACGAUACAUAGCCGACCUGGGAGGGUGAUCGGCCACACUGGGACUGAGACACGGCCCAGACUCCUACGGGAGGCAGCAGGAGGGAAGCUUCGGCAAUGGGGGCAACCCUGACCGAGCAACGCCGCGUGAGGGAAGAAGGUUGUCGGAUCGUAAAGCUCUGUUGUAAGUCAAGAACGGGUGUGAGAGUGGAAAGUUCACACUGUGACGGUAGCUUACCAGAAAGGGACGGCUAACUACGUG
rnacentral:rRNA from 1 species